rnacentral:lncRNA from 1 species
GUGUGUGUGUGUGUGUGUGUGUGUGUAUAGGGGGGAGUCUGCCCUUAGCAUUUUUAUUUUAAUUUCUUGGACUGGGGUGACUGCUGUAUGCUUACUUUUUAGCCUUAUUGAAAACAUGCAGAUUUUCUAAUUAAUGCUUGAAAUCAUAUGUUUAUUUUUGGGGUUUGAUGUGAUUGUUGAUAGCACCGGAACAGGAGGUAGGGGCUUCCAGUGUGUAAUAAUUACUGAAGGGUCAUUUAAGAGUCCCCAGGGCUAAGUCAUAAAACCCACCCGGGCGGUGAGGCGGAACCAGAAAGCGUGCCUCGGUUCAGGCAAGUGGAAUAUACAGAAAUCAAUCAAGUGAAUAGGAGCAUUGCACCAAACCCUAGCUGUUCCAACAUCCAUGAAUGUUCUGAGGACAAAACAAAACAAAAACCUUCUUAAUCAUGAGAUUAGAUGUUCAAAACAUAUACUAAUACAUGGCCAGAAAAAUGAAAAGCCCAGUGACAAGUUUGGCCUGGCCUGGGACCCAGAAAGUUUCAGUUCAGUGGGACCCUAUGACAGGUAACUUAUUUAUGCACUUCAGUAAAUGAAGAUUGAGGAACUAUUAAGGACAAGAGUGUACUGUACCGUGUAACUCUCCAGCCACUAAAGGGCAAUUAAGCAGUCAGCUUCGUGUCUUAUCUCACUGGCUCCUCUAGGGUAGUUUUACAACUAGGAAUUAAAAUCUGAAAGGGGCGUUUUCUGCAGCUCUGGCCAAAUAUUGAUUAAGUAGCUGUUUGUUAAUACCACUGUCAGCCCCUCAGUAGCCACCUUCUUUUGUCAAGGCUUCUUACCACACAGAUCAAAGCAGGAUCAUUUCAAUUUAUCUGUUCUGGAAAAUCCUCCUUUUCCUCUGAAAUCUCUAAGGAGGAACUGACCACGCUCUCCUUGAAGAAACAGGAACUGAAACCAGUUCCGUAGUGUUGUCUUAUAGAGAAGGCUCAAAGGGUGUUUUUUCAAUUAUCCUGUGGCGAUUUCGUGUUCAGAACUGAGUCUGAGACUGAGACCUGAGACGGUAAUUUAAAAAAAAAAUUUUUUUUAACAAGUUGAUUCUCCUUUAGGGAGGGGGAAGAGGAGCUACUGUCUUGUGGCAAAUUCUCUAAAUAUGUAAUUGCCAUCCAGGAAGGAAUGGUGUGUAGAAAAGAUACCAGAUUUUUACAUGUAAAAUUAGAUGGAGAGUACAGAGCACAGGGGAUUGUGAGGUGUAGUGGCUACAUCCUUCUGUGUGCGACAGCUCCAUAAUUUUGUAUUUACAGAUAGUUAGACAAUUCUCUUGUAUAUUUUAAAAUCCCUGUAAUAUGGGAGCAGAUAUGCAUUUGUGUAUUCAACGUCUGUCAUUGGUGUUUAUUGAUCACUAAGAAUUAAGCAAUUAAGAAUUGGGCUUUAUAAAGGCAUAUUUAUCCUGCAAGCUAUUAUGUUUGAGCCGGCAGAGUUUGAGGUAACAGCACAGAACUUAGUGCAUUCCCACAUGUUGACUGCUGGGGAAAAAAAACAAAAAAC